rnacentral:rRNA from 1 species
UGAACGCUGGCGGCGUGCCUAAUACAUGCACAUCGCGCGAACAGACGCGGAGCUUGCUCCUCUGACGUUAGCGGCGGACGGGUGAGUAACACGUGGAUAACCUACCUAUAAGACUGGGAUAACUUCGGGAAACCGGAGCUAAUACCGGAUAAUAUAUUGAACCGCAUGGUUCAAUAGUGAAAGACGGUUUUGCUGUCACUUAUAGAUGGAUCCGCGCCGCAUUAGCUAGUUGGUAAGGUAACGGCUUACCAAGGCGACGAUGCGUAGCCGACCUGAGAGGGUGAUCGGCCACACUGGAACUGAGACACGGUCCAGACUCCUACGGGAGGCAGCAGUAGGGAAUCUUCCGCAAUGGGCGAAAGCCUGACGGAGCAACGCCGCGUGAGUGAUGAAGGUCUUCGGAUCGUAAAACUCUGUUAUUAGGGAAGAACAAAUGUGUAAGUAACUAUGCACGUCUUGACGGUACCUAAUCAGAAAGCCACGGCUAACUACGUG